UAUCCCCUGCGGUGUUCGUGAAGGCUAACAAUUCCUUUGUACCAAUGCGUUCGCUUUUGGCCGCCAGCGUGAGACACGGGUGUGUCGCGUCCCUCGAGGAUGCGCCCGAAGUGACUGGCAGGUAGCCCUCCCUGGAAACAGGGUACAAGCGAAUUAUGCCCAAACGACACUCGCGGGGGUCUC
rfam:Aquitalea magnusonii strain SM6 contig_9, whole genome shotgun sequence.